UUGUUCCCCUUGCCACUGUAGCCACCAGAGGAAAGUUCUCCAGUCAUCUCAUUUGGCAUCGAUGACUUCCAAGUCUUCAAGAUUUUGUUUUCCAGUUGGUCCCCUGUUCUUGGCUUAUUUUGUUUUUUUGUUCUUUUUCUUGCUUGGUUUCAUUAGUUCCAUUUGCAUCCUUCCUUUUCAUUCUUUCUAUGUCUUCUGAUGGUGGUGAGUUUAGGGGUGAAAACCCUAA
rnacentral:lncRNA from 1 species